rnacentral:rRNA from 1 species
AGUGAACGCUGGCGGUAGGCCUAACACAUGCCAGUCGAACGGCAGCACAGUAAGAGCUUGCUCUUACGGGUGGCGAGUGGCGGACGGGUGAGGAAUACAUCGGAAUCUACUUUUUCGUGGGGGAUAACGUAGGGAAACUUACGCUAAUACCGCAUACGACCUACGGGUGAGAGCAGGGGAUCUUCGGACCUUGCGCGAUUGAAUGAGCCGAUGUCGGAUUAGCUAGUUGGCGGGGUAAAGGCCCACCAAGGCGACGAUCCGUAGCUGGUCUGAGAGGAUGAUCAGCCACACUGGAACUGAGACACGGUCCAGACUCCUACGGGAGGCAGCAGUGGGGAAUAUUGGACAAUGGGCGCAAGCCUGAUCCAGCCAUACCGCGUGGGUGAAGAAGGCCUUCGGGUUGUAAAGCCCUUUUGUUGGGAAAGAAAAGCAGCAGGUUAAUACCCCGCUGUUCUGACGGUACCCAAAGAAUAAGCACCGGCUAACUUCGUG